AGACACUGCAGUCUGCUGAAGAACUGAGGUUGUGUGAAAGCAGUUUUUCCAGCUGCAACCAAUAACUGUAUCUAUAUAAGUCAUAUAUCCUGUACAUAUGGAUAUAUAACUUAUAUAGAUACAGUCAUUGGCUGGAACAGAUAUGUUCCUGUUGCCUGCUUGGUUGCCUGUUCUCUACUCAACUUCAUUACUUCAUAAGGAUCUCUUGGGUAUGUAGCCCCCUGCUUGCACCUUUCAUUUCUGUGGAGGAGGAGAGGAGAAACCCAACUGCCAAGGGAUUCGGGCACUCGGGCCUUCUGUCUCUGUUCCAGCAGAUGCUCAGUCAAGGCCUUCCAGCACUCUGGAAGGAUGGCACGUGCAAUCUCUGAUCAGGGUACAGCGGGCCUGUAGUGGACAGCGCCAGGUCCAAUGACCUGCCAAUAAAGCGCCAGAUACUAGAAGCAACAGAACAAAAAACAAACAAACAAAAGCCGACUUUUCCCAUUUCCCCUUCCCGUUUUGUCGGCUUCUGGUUGUCUGUUGCUUGGUUGGCGGGUUAUGGGCUUGGCCUGCUGUAAAAAUAUCUGAAUUGAAUGUGAAAACCAUUCUAAAGACGGAUAACAUUUAAACCAGAUACAAAACAACCCUUUCCUGUUGUUAAAGCUGAAUGCAUUUUUUUCAACCAAAAAAAAAAAAAAUAAUAAAAAUGGUAAAACCUUUGUAACUGA